rnacentral:lncRNA from 1 species
UUAUUGCAUCAUGUGCAAGCAUGCAAAAGCAAAUGAUCAUGUGAAGUCCAAUCUUGCUAAAACACUUCCCAUAAUGAAGCUAUGCGCAAGUCCUUCAAUUUUGAUCCAAAUGAGAUGAUCAUGGAUGUUUUGGAAAGGUAAGAUCAAGGGGAACAACUUUCAUGUUGAACAUAUUUUCAUUUGAAGCUUGGAUAAUGAUGAAUUUUGAGGUGGAAGUUUGGGAAAUCAAACAUAUUUGAAAAUUUUCUAAGUCCCAAAUCAAAUGUUCACUUCUUCCACCUUGAAUGACGUUUUCUAUGGACCUCAAUUGGAAAAUAUUCCUUCAUAAAAGUUGUAUCUAUUUCAAAUAUAUUAAAUUUGGUCACAAAUUUGACCUCAUUUGGAUUUGACAUGAAGGAGGUAUGCAUUUUAGAAAUUGAGGAAAAUCACUUGUUCAAUAGUAAUGGCCCAAAAUGACCUAUAAUGUUUCCUCUUGGCACAUGCAUUUUCAAGUUGAAUUUGAACUUCCUCCAAACAUAAAAGUUGACGUAGAUAUCUUGAAACUUAUAAUUCAAUUUGAAUGGCAUUCAUAUUAUGAAAAUUGAGCAAGUUAUGGUUUUGGGAAGUUGACGUUCAAACUAGGGUUUAGA